CAGUAGGAGCCUGCCUGGAUUAGACAAAUACAAGACAAAUAACAGGGGCAGCAAGACAGAAAAGCUCCCAGUCUCUCAGGUCCACGGAGGCCAAAGUGUGGGGAGGCGCAGCAAAAUGAAGCAACAAGAAUCAUUUGCAUGUGGAGGAUGCACCCAGGACUAGUGUAGAGUUUUAUUUGACAAGAUCUUCAGCACAAAGAAAGAGAGGAGCCGAGAAGAAAUGAGGAGAAACAAGGGAAGAGGAACGGGUGCUUGGUAAACACUUUUUAUAGUGGGUGAGUGAAAGGGGCAAAGAUGACUGGAUUAAUACAUUAGAAAUGAACGACGUGAAAUAUUUUUCUUCGUCAUCUUCUGGUGAUACACAAAUUAAAUAUUAAUAUAGAUAAUAUGAGAUAUUUAUUAACUUGGUUUCAUAUUCAUGUCUAGCUGACUAAGAGGACACUGUAAUAGUUAAAAUAUUUUGCCAAUGAUAUUCAUUACGGGUAUGUAUCGGAACUGCCGAAUCAUCACGUUGACCUUCAUUAAUCAUCUGAAUUAUUCAUAGGUCUAUCUGUGAAUAAGAAUUGAGGUUCAGCUGGCGAACUCUAUCUAUCUCUAUCUAAACACUUCCCAGGUAACAUAUUACCUGUUAACAGGUAACGUAUUAAACUCCUGUAGUCAGGUGAAUCGCUCCCACACAAAGACAUGAGAAACUCUCUCAGGUAUGAAACAUUUGCUCAGGUGUUGCGUUUUCCCACUUUCUGUUC